rnacentral:rRNA from 1 species
AGUGAACGCUGGCGGUAGGCCUAACACAUGCAAGUCGAACGGCAGCACAGUAAGAGCUUGCUCUUACGGGUGGCGAGUGGCGGACGGGUGAGGAAUACAUCGGAAUCUACUUUUUCGUGGGGGAUAACGUAGGGAAACUUACGCUAAUACCGCAUACGACCUACGGGUGAAAGCAGGGGAUCUUCGGACCUUGCGCGAUUGAAUGAGCCGAUGUCGGAUUAGCUAGUUGGCGGGGUAACGGCCCACCAAGGCGACGAUCCGUAGCUGGUCUGAGAGGAUGAUCAGCCACACAGGAACUGAGACACGGUCCAGACUCCUACGGGAGGCAGCAGUGGGGAAUAUUGGACAAUGGGCACAAGCCUGAUCCAGCCAUACCGCGUGAGUGAAGAAGGCCUUCGGGUUGUAAAGCCCUUUUGUUGGGAAAGAAAAGCAGCAGGUUAAUACCCCGCUGUUCUGACGGUACCCAAAGAAUAAGCACCGGCUAACUUCGUG